UAGGGAAUCUUCCGCAAUGGACGAAAGUCUGACGGAGCAACGCCGCGUGAGUGAAGAAGGAUUUCGGUUCGUAAAACUCUGUUGUUAGGGAAGAAAAAAUGUAUAGUAACUAUAUACAAAAGAGACGGUACCUAACCAGAAAGCCACGGCUAACUACGUGCCAGCAGCCGCGGUAAUACGUAGGUGGCAAGCGUUGUCCGGAAUUAUUGGGCGUAAAGCGAGCGCAGGCGGUUAGAAAAGUCUGAAGUGAAAGGCAGUGGCUCAACCAUUGUAGGCUUUGGAAACUGUUUAACUUGAGUGCAGAAGGGGAGAGUGGAAUUCCAUGUGUAGCGGUGAAAUGCGUAGAUAUAUGGAGGAACACCGGUGGCGAAAGCGGCUCUCUGGUCUGUAACUGACGCUGAGGCUCGAAAGCGUGGGGAGCGAACAGG
rnacentral:rRNA from 1 species